rnacentral:misc_RNA from 1 species
UCGUGAUCUUUUUAGCGAGCUUGAUAGAAAUGUUAAGCCUGUUGCACCGUUGCAGUUUUUAUCGGUUUUGAGGAAAAAAUAUCCUCAGUUUGCACAGCAGCAAAAUGGCGUCUAUAUGCAACAGGAUGCCGAAGAAUGUUGGACCCAACUUAUGUAUACACUUACUCAAUCUCUACAGUCAUCAGGAUCAAGUGAAGUGUCCAGCUCAGUGAAGACACUAUUUGGGAUUGACCUUGUCAG